rnacentral:rRNA from 1 species
CCUGGUGGUCAUGGCGGGGUGGCUGCACCCGUUCCCAUUCCGAACACGGCCGUGAAACGCCCCUGCGCCAAUGGUACUUCGUCUUAAGACGCGGGAGAGUAGGUCGCUGCCAGGU